AUGACGAGUGGCGGACGGGUGAGUAAUGCUUGGGAAUCUGGCUUAUGGAGGGGGAUAACGACGGGAAACUGUCGCUAAUACCGCGUAGAAUCGAGAGAUGAAAGUGUGGGACCUUCGGGCCACAUGCCAUAGGAUGAGCCCAAGUGGGAUUAGGUAGUUGGUGGGGUAAAGGCCUACCAAGCCGACGAUCUCUAGCUGGUCUGAGAGGAUGGCCAGCCACACCGGGACUGAGACACGGCCCGGACUCCUACGGGAGGCAGCAGUGGGGAAUAUUGCGCAAUGGGGGGAACCCUGACGCAGCCAUGCCGCGUGAAUGAAGAAGGCCUUCGGGUUGUAAAGUUCUUUCGGUAUUGAGGAAGGUUGAUGUGUUAAUAGCACAUCAAAUUGACGUUAAAUACAGAAGAAGCACCGGCUAACUCCGUGCCAGCAGCCGCGGUAAUACGGAGGGUGCGAGCGUUAAUCGGAAUAACUGGGCGUAAAGGGCACGCAGGCGGACUUUUAAGUGAGGUGUGAAAUCCCCGGGCUUAACCUGGGAAUUGCAUUUCAGACUGGGAGUCUAGAGUACUUUAGGGAGGGGUAGAAUUCCACGUGUANCGGUGAAAUGCGUAGAGAUGUGGAGGAAUACCGAAGGCGAANGCAGCCCCUUGGGAAUGUACUGACGCUCAUGUGCCAAAGCGUGGGGAGCAAACAGGAUUAGAUACCCUGGUAGUCCACCCUGUAAACGCUGUCCAUUUGGGGAUUGAGCUUAAAGCUUGGUGCCCCAAGCUAACGUGAUAAAUCACCGCCUGGGGAGUACCGCCCC
rnacentral:rRNA from 1 species